ACCUAGAUACAUAGUUGUACA
rnacentral:snRNA from 1 species